CUGGGGAGCUUGGUUGAACCUUGCUGAGAGUAGACUGAAUUGUCUUGACCCGUAAACCUGAUUUGGAUAAUGCCAACGUAGGGAAAAUCUAUU
rnacentral:ncRNA from 1 species